rnacentral:rRNA from 1 species
GUCCACGCCCUAAACGAUGAAUACUCGAUGUUAGCGAUAAACAGUUAGCGUCUAAGCGAAAGCGUUAAGUAUUCCACCUGGGGAGUACGCCCGGCAAGGGGUGAAACUCAAAGGAAUUGACGGGGGCCCCGCACAAGCGGAGGAGCAUGUGGUUUAAUUCGAUGAUACGCGAGGAACCUUACCCGGGCUUGAAAGUUAGUGAAUAAUUCAGAGAUGAAUUAGUGAGCAAAUCACACGAAACUAGGUGCUGCAUGGCUGUCGU